UACAGAGGGGGCAAGCGUUGUUCGGAAUUACUGGGCGUAAAGGGCGCGUAGGCGGCCUGCUAAGUCGAACGUGAAAUCCCCGGGCUCAACCCGGGAACUGCGUCCGAUACUGGUGGGCUUGAAUUCGGGAGAGGGAUGCGGAAUUCCAGGUGUAGCGGUGAAAUGCGUAGAUAUCUGGAGGAACACCGGUGGCGAAGGCGGCAUCCUGGACCGAUAUUGACGCUGAGGCGCGAAAGCCAGGGGAGCAAACGGG
rnacentral:rRNA from 1 species